UACGAAGGGGGCUAGCGUUGUUCGGAAUCACUGGGCGUAAAGCGCACGUAGGCGGACUGUUAAGUCAGGGGUGAAAUCCUGGGGCUCAACCCCAGAACUGCCUUUGAUACUGGCGGUCUUGAGUGUGGGAGAGGUUGGUGGAACUCCGAGUGUAGAGGUGAAAUUCGUAGAUAUUCGGAAGAACACCAGUGGCGAAGGCGGCCAACUGGCCCAUUACUGACGCUGAGGUGCGAAAGCGUGGGGAGCAAACAGG
rnacentral:rRNA from 1 species